GCCGGGUGUGGUGGCGCGCACCUGUAAUCCCAGCUACUCAGGAGGCUGAGGCAGGAGAAUCGCUUGAACCCAGGAGGCGGAGGUUGCAGUGAGCUGAGAUUACGCCACUGCUCUCCAGCCUGGGCAACAGAGCGAGACUCCAUCUCAA
rnacentral:SRP_RNA from 2 species